AUUGAACGCUGGCGGAAUGCUUUACACAUGCAAGUCGAACGGCAGCACGGGAGCUUGCUCCUGGUGGCGAGUGGCGAACGGGUGAGUAAUGCGUCGGAACGUACCGAGUAAUGGGGAUAACGCAGCGAAAGCUGUGCUAAUACCGCAUACGCCCUGAGGGGAAAGUGGGGGAUCGCAAGACCUCACGUUAUUCGAGCGGCCGACGUCUGAUUAGCUAGUUGGUGGGUAAAGGCCUACCAAGGCGACGAUCAGUAGCGGGUCUGAGAGGAUGAUCCGCCACACUGGAACUGAGACACGGUCCAGACUCCUACGGAGGCAGCAGUGGGGAAUUUUGGACAAUGGGGCAACCCUGAUCCAGCCAUUCCGCGUGAGUGAAGAAGGCC
rnacentral:rRNA from 1 species